AUUUGGACCUUCAGUAGCUCUGGCUGUGGGUUCCUAAAUUCUCUGUCCAGUCUGGAAAUCAGUACUUCCCAAAAUAAAUAGUUAUAGUCUGGGAAGACUUCUGCCUGGAUGACCUGCACAAAAAAAUGACACUGCCCUGCAGAUGCUUGAGAACUUGCAGGGCCCUCUGAAGUCAGCUGGACAUUCAGAAAUGAAUGAGAUGGAAUGAAAUGUUGAGAUGGAACAUUGCAUGGAGUCAGCAACCACCAAGGCAACGAAGAGACACUUAGAGACAAGGCGUGCCAGAGACGGACAGCGGGUGGAAUGAUGCUGGAGCUGUGACAGAGAGGUGUUGAGCUGAGCUCCUGGCACACUCCAGGGAG